UACGGGGGGGGUAAGCGUUGUUCGGAAUUACUGGGCGUAAAGGGCUCGUAGGCGGCCAACUAAGUCAGACGUGAAAUCCCCAGGCUCAACCUGGGAACUGCGUCUGAUACUGGAUGGCUUGAAUCCGGGAGAGGGAUGCAGAAUUCCAGGUGUAGCGGUGAAAUGCGUAGAUAUCUGGAGGAAUACCGGUGGCGAAGGCGGCAUCCUGGACCGGCAUUGACGCUGAGGCGCGAAAGCUAGGGGAGCAAACGGG
rnacentral:rRNA from 1 species